rnacentral:rRNA from 1 species
UACAGAGGUCUCAAGCGUUGUUCGGAUUCAUUGGGCGUAAAGGGUGCGUAGGCGGCUUGUCGCGUCGGCUGUGAAAACCCGCGGCUCAACUGUGGGCGGGCAGCUGAUACGGGCAGGCUGGAGUUCGGUAGGGGAGACUGGAAUUCCUGGUGUAGCGGUGAAAUGCGCAGAUAUCAGGAGGAACACCGGUGGCGAAGGCGGGUCUCUGGGCCGAUACUGACGUGAGGAGCGAAAAGCGUGGGGGAGAACAGG